AUUGAACGCUGGCGGCAGGCCUAACACAUGCAAGUCGAGCGAGCGGCGGACGGGUGAGUAAUGCCUGGGAAUUGCCCAGUCGAGGGGGAUAACAGUUGGAAACGACUGCUAAUACCGCAUACGAUUGGAUGGCCCAGGUGGGAUUAGCUAUUUGGGGAGGUAAUGGCUCACCAAGGAGACGCUCCCUAGCUGUUCUGAGAGAAUGAUCGGCAACACUAGAACUGUGAUACGGUCCAGACUCCUACGGGAGGCAGCAGUGGGGAAUAUUGCACAGUGGGGGAAACCCUGUUGCAGCCAUGCCGCGUGGGUGAAGAAGGCCUUCGGGUUGUAAAGCACUUUCAGCGAGUAGGCGUUACUCGCAGAAGAAGCACCGGCUAACUCCGUGCCAGCAGCCGCGGUAAUUC
rnacentral:rRNA from 1 species